rnacentral:rRNA from 13 species
UGAAGAGUUUGAUCAUGGCUCAGAUUGAACGCUGGCGGCAGGCCUAACACAUGCAAGUCGAGCGGAAACGAUCCUAGCUUGCUAGGAGGCGUCGAGCGGCGGACGGGUGAGUAACACGUGAGAAUCUGCCCAUUAGUGGGGGAUAACCUGGGGAAACCCAGGCUAAUACCGCAUAAUCCCUACGGGGGAAAGCAGGGGACCUUCGGGCCUUGUGCUGAUGGAUGAGCUCGCGUCGGAUUAGCUUGUUGGUGAGGUAAUGGCUCACCAAGGCGACGAUCCGUAGCUGGUCUUAGAGGAUGAUCAGCCACACCGGGACUGAGACACGGCCCGGACUCCUACGGGAGGCAGCAGUGGGGAAUAUUGCACAAUGGGCGGAAGCCUGAUGCAGCGACGCCGCGU